rnacentral:tRNA from 1 species
GAGGGAUUAGUUAAAUAUAACACUGCCUUGUCAAGGCAGAAUUACUAGUUAAACUCUUGUAUCCCUCU